AUUGAACGCUGGCGGCAGGCUUAACACAUGCAAGUCGAGCGGAGAUGAGGUGCUUGCACCUUAUCUUAGCGGCGGACGGGUGAGUAAUGCUUAGGAAUCUGCCUAUUAGUGGGGGACAACAUUCCGAAAGGAAUGCUAAUACCGCAUACGUCCUACGGGAGAAAGCAGGGGAUCUUCGGACCUUGCGCUAAUAGAUGAGCCUAGGUCGGAUUAGCUAGUUGGUGGGGUAAAGGCCUACCAAGGCGACGAUCUGUAGCGGGUCUGAGAGGAUGAUCCGCCACACUGGGACUGAGACACGGCCCAGACUCCUACGGGAGGCAGCAGUGGGGAAUAUUGGACAAUGGGGGGAACCCUGAUCCAGCCAUGCCGCGUGUGUGAAGAAGGCCUUAUGGUUGUAAAGCACUUUAAGCGAGGAGGAGGCUACUGAGACUAAUACUCUUGGAUAGAGGACGUUACUCGCAGAAUAAGCACCGGCUAACUCUGUGCCAGCCGCCGCCGUAAGAC
rnacentral:rRNA from 1 species